rnacentral:rRNA from 1 species
CCUACGGGUGGCUGCAGUGGGGAAUAUUGGACAAUGGGGGGAACCCUGAUCCAGCCAUGCCGCGUGUGUGAAGAAGGCCCUCGGGUUGUAAAGCACUUUCAGUGAGGAAGAACGCCUGGUGGUUAAUACCCAUCAGGAAAGACAUCACUCACAGAAGAAGCACCGGCUAACUCCGUGCCAGCAGCCGCGGUAAUACGGAGGGUGCGAGCGUUAAUCGGAAUUACUGGGCGUAAAGCGCGCGUAGGUGGCUUGAUAAGCCGGUUGUGAAAGCCCCGGGCUCAACCUGGGAACGGCAUCCGGAACUGUCAAGCUAGAGUGCAGGAGAGGAAGGUAGAAUUCCCGGUGUAGCGGUGAAAUGCGUAGAGAUCGGGAGGAAUACCAGUGGCGAAGGCGGCCUUCUGGACUGACACUGACACUGAGGUGCGAAAGCGUGGGUAGCAAACAGGAUUAGAUACCCCAGUGGUC